rnacentral:rRNA from 1 species
CCAACAGGGAUUGCCUCAGUAACGGCGAGUGAAGCGGCAACAGCUCAAAUUUGAAAGCUGGCUCUUUCAGGGCCCGCGUUGUAAUUUGUAGAGGAUGCUUCGGGUGCGGCGCUGGUCUAAGUUCUUUGGAACAAGACGUCAUAGAGGGUGAGAAUCCCGUAUGUGACUAGCUGCCUGUGCCUGUGUGAAGCUCCUUCGACGAGUCGAGUUGUUUGGGAAUGCAGCUCAAAAUGGGUGGUGUACUUCAUCUAAAGCUAAAUAUUGGCCAGAGACCGAUAGCGCACAAGUAGAGUGAUCGAAAGAUGAAAAGCACUUUGGAAAGAGAGUUAAACAGUACGUGAAAUUGUUGAAAGGGAAGCGCUUGCAAUCAGACUUGCGCGGCGUCGAUCAACCUGGGUUCUCCCUGGUGCACUCGGCGCUGCUCAGGCCAGCAUCAGUUUCAGCGGUUGGAUAAAGGCCUAGGGAACGUGGGUUACUUCGGUGACUGUUAUAGCCCUAGGUGCAAUGCAGCCUGUUGGGACUGAGGACCGCGCUUCGGCUAGGAUGCUGGCGUAAUGGUUGUAAGCGACCCGUCUUGAAACACGGACCAAGGAGUCUAACAUCUAUGCGAGUUUUUGGGUGUCAAACCCAUAAGCGUAAUGAAAGUGAACGGAGGUGAGAACCCUUAAGGGUGCAUCAUCGACCGAUCCUGAUGUCUUCGGAUGGAUUUGAGUAAGAGCAUAGCUGUUGGGACCCGAAAGAUGAUGAUCUAUACCUGAAUAGGGUGAAGCCAGAGGAAACUCUGGUGGAGGCUCGCAGCGGUUCUGACGUGCAAAUCGAUCGUCAAAUUUGGGUAUAGGGGCGAAAGACUAAUCGAA